rnacentral:rRNA from 1 species
UACAGGGGGGGCAAGCGUUGUUCGGAAUCACUGGGCGUAAAGCGCACGUAGGCGGAUUGCUAAGUCAGGGGUGAAAUCCUGGAGCUCAACUCCAGAACUGCCUUUGAUACUGGCGACCUUGAGUCCGGGAGAGGUGAGUGGAACUGCGAGUGUAGAGGUGAAAUUCGUAGAUAUUCGCAAGAACACCAGUGGCGAAGGCGGCUCACUGGCCCGGUACUGACGCUGAGGUGCGAAAGCGUGGGGAGCAAACAGG